GCAAACUUGGUCAUUUAGAGGAAGUAAAAGUCGUAACAAGGUUUCCGUAGGUGAACCUGCGGAAGGAUCAUUCAAAAAUAUCCUUAUUUCAUUUGUGUGUAAAUUCGUGUGCGUGUUCUUCUGAACACCGCAUACACACAUAUACCUUUUUUUUUUAAUUUUAUCUGUUGGGCGCAUUUCAGCGUCAAAUAUUGUCAUGAAUUUCUUCAAAAAAAAAAGAAUAUUCAAAAACAACUUUCAACAACGGAUCUCUUGGCUCUCGCAUCGAUGAAGAACGCAGC
rnacentral:misc_RNA from 1 species